rnacentral:lncRNA from 1 species
AAAUCAUCGAGGCCAUCAAAGAGACCGAGGGUCGCCGCUUCAUCUCCGACCAGAGCCGGAGAAAGGACCUCUCCGACCGGCCACUGCCGGAAAGACGAAGCCCAAAUCCCCAACUACUAACUAUUCCGGAGGCAGCAACCAUCUUACUGGCGUCCCUUCAGAAAUCACCAGAAGAUGAAGAAAAAAACUUUGAUCAAACCAGAUUCCUGGAAGACAGUCUGCUUAACUGGUGAAAAUAUACUGGAUUAUGUUUAAUUAUGGUUCUAUUCUCUUUGAAAACAUGAACCAUGUGAAUAAAACCUUUGGACCCUUUUAUUCCAUUUGUAAUCUUAAGAACACACACAGAUAGUUUUAUUCUUUCAGAAACAAAAUAUAUAUAGGAUGCUUAGCUGAGAACAUCAUCUUCUUUCAUUGCUUCAGGUCCUGUUUAGAUGACCAAAAAUGUUUUCAGAUCACCUUGUGUCUUACUCUUGAGUUUCUUAGAAUAUUUAUAAUUAUAAGGCUGAAGACUAAAGUGUUCUUUCCUUUUAACUAUAGCCAGUACCUGUCUUGAUCUUAGUUG